AUCCUUCUGUGCUGCAGUGGGUCAGGGCGUCUGGCUGUUAACCGGAGGCUGGUGGUUCGAGCCUACCCAGGGAUG